rfam:Enterococcus sp. 10A9_DIV0425 scaffold00003, whole genome shotgun sequence.
UUGAAAGCUUUGAAAAGAAGAGUACAUGUCACGGAUGUUCCAAGAGAGCCCUAUUUGCUGAGAAGGGGUAACAGAAAUGAGAUGGAAGAUGGUCUUAGAGCAGAAUAAGUGAGCAUCAGCAAACUUAUUACGGGAGUGCCCGUUACAGCACAGCAGUAUGCGACAGAGUUCAAGUACUGAAAGAGGUUGUUAUUGUGAAAUAGCAGCGAAUCAAGGUGGUCACACGGAAGUCUAAACUUUCGUCCUUUUG